rnacentral:rRNA from 1 species
GACGAACGCUGGCGGCGUGCCUAAUACAUGCAAGUCGAACGCUUCUUUCCUCCCGAGUGCUUGCACUCAAUUGGAAAGAGGAGUGGCGGACAGGUGAGUAACACGUGGGUAACCUACCCAUCAGAGGGGGAUAACACUUGGAAACAGGUGCUAAUACCGCAUAACAGUUUAUGCCGCAUGGCAUAAGAGUGAAAGGCGCUUUCGGGUGUCGUUGAUGGAUGGACCCGCGGUGCAUUAGCUAGUUGGUGAGGUAACGGCUCACCAAGGCCACGAUGCAUAGCCGACCUGAGAGGGUGAUCGGCCACACUGGGACUGAGACACGGCCCAGACUCCUACGGGAGGCAGCAGUAGGGAAUCUUCGGCAAUGGACGAAAGUCUGACCGAGCAGCGCCGCGUGAGUGAAGAAGGUUUUCGGAUCGUAAAACUCUGUUGUUAGAGAAGAACAAGGACGUUAGUAACUGAACGUCCCCUGACGGUAUCUAACCAGAAAGCCACGGCUAACUACGUG